AGCGAACGCUGGCGGCAGGCCUAACACAUGCAAGUCGAACGAAGUCUUCGGACUUAGUGGCGGACGGGUGAGUAACACGUGGGAACGUGCCUUUAGGUUCGGAAUAACUCAGGGAAACUUGUGCUAAUACCGAAUGUGCCCUUCGGGGGAAAGAUUUAUCGCCUUUAGAGCGGCCCGCGUCUGAUUAGCUAGUUGGUGAGGUAAAGGCUCACCAAGGCGACGAUCAGUAGCUGGUCGGAGAGGAUGAUCAGCCACAUUGGGACGGAAACACGGCCAAAACUCCUACGGGAGGCAGCAGUGGGGAAUCUUGCGCAAUGGGCGAAAGCCUGACGCAGCCAUGCCGCGUGAAUGAUGAAGGUCUUAGGAUUGUAAAAUUCUUUCACCGGGGACGAUAAUGGCGGUACCCGGAGAAGAAGCCCCGGCUAACUUCGUGCCAGCCGCCGCAGUAAGAC
rnacentral:rRNA from 1 species